rnacentral:tRNA from 1 species
GCCUUUUUAGCUCAGUCGGUUAGAGCACCUGACUGUUAAUCAGGGUGUCACUGGUUCGAGUCCAGUAAAAGGCGCCA